AAAUGUCUGGUUAUAAUUCCAGACAUAUGGACAAACAUUCAUCCAAGAUGACAGGUUCCUGUCAGUUGUUGGAAGCUUUGCGUCUAUCUUCAAUGCUGCAGGUCGUAUCUCAUGGGGCUACUUUGGAGACAAGGUGUCAUUUAAGACGGCUAUGCUGUGCCUGUGUGCGCUAUUCACAGUCCUCAUGUUCACCUUCACCCUGACCAAGGUUGCCGACGGGAAGCCCCUGUUCUUCAUCUACGUCUGCCUCACAUUCGGCACCUUCUCCGGCAACUACUCCCUCAUCCCCACUGCGACCGCGAGGACGUUUGGCCAGGAGUACUUCAUACAGAUAUAUGGGAUUUUGUUUUCCUCACAGAUGGUCAUUUCUCCAGUCGGGUCUCUGCUGACGUCUUAUCUUACAGACCUUAUCGGCUGGUAUGGGCUCUUCUUUCUAACUGCUGCCUGUUCUUCCUGUAGUUUUAUUCUGAUGUUUUUCUUCAACAAGAAGAUGCCAGAUGGAAAUGACGUUUGAAACAAUGUAUAAGGCCGGAUGGUGGAAGAUGGUGGUGACCCGAAUAAUGUAUGUACAGUGGUUGUGAUAUUACAUAACGCGUCUCUUGAAACUGUGUCGUGAGAAGACUGCGGGAAGACCGUGAGAAUACUUCUACCAAAGGUGUUCUGUGAUCGGCGUCAGGCUAUAUGCUUGUGUAAAUAGCGGGUACUUCCGGUAGGACCGGACAUGCGUAUAUCCCUUCCGCGAACACAUGGUGUUAUCACUGACUGUCAGCGAUCCAUGCAUAAUGUCUUCACAGCUCUGUUGUCUAAACACCAACUAAACCUGUUUCUGAGGAUAUUCAGUGCUGGGUAUCCUUUGGCACUGACUGUUUGAUAUUUAUGAAUAAAAUAUGUUUACAUCAAA